rnacentral:rRNA from 1 species
GAUGAACGCUGGCGGCGUGCCUAAUACAUGCAAGUCGAGCGAAUGGAUUAAGAGCUUGCUCUUAUGAAGUUAGCGGCGGACGGGUGAGUAACACGUGGGUAACCUGCCCAUAAGACUGGGAUAACUCCGGGAAACCGGGGCUAAUACCGGAUAACAUUUUGAACCGCAUGGUUCGAAAUUGAAAGGCGGCUUCGGCUGUCACUUAUGGAUGGACCCGCGUCGCAUUAGCUAGUUGGUGAGGUAACGGCUCACCAAGGCAACGAUGCGUAGCCGACCUGAGAGGGUGAUCGGCCACACCGGGACUGAGACACGGCCCAAACUCCUACGGGAGGCAGCAGUAGGGAAUCUUCCGCAAUGGCCGAAAGUCUGACGGAGCAACGCCGCGUGAGUGAUGAAGGCUUUCGGGUCGUAAAACUCUGUUGUUAGGGAAGAACAAGUGCUAGUUGAAUAAGCUGGCACCUUGACGGUACCUAACCAGAAAGCCACGGCUAACUACGUGCCAGCAGCCGCCGUAA